GUCGCGCUCGUUUCUAAUUUUAGCUCCGGCGGCCCUGGUGGGGUCCGGCGAGGUAAAGGCGGGCAGAGGGGACAUGGGGGCUGGGGGCGCGGUUUUCCCGGUCCCUUGCUGCCCCAAUGUUGGUCCUCGUGGAGGACGGGUCCCGGCCCGAGCCGCUGGAACGCCGGCGCUUCCUUAGGCCAGGGCGAAGGGUCUCGUCCGCGUGCCAGCCCAGCCCUGAGCUCACCGUAGGCGUUCAAUAAACGAAUUGGGGUUCCCUCCUAAAUGCGACUCGGGACUUCCCAGAGAGGGCUAGGGUUCUGUAAAGUUCCCUGGUGGAUGGGGUGCGGUGUGGACUGAAGUCAGAACAGGAGCGGGGCUCGGCGAGGGCUCGGGCAGGCGGUGUGGACCGAGCCCAUCGGGGCGUCGGUCCUAGGUGACCUCGGUGGGGCGGUCGCUCAGCCUUUCUGAGCGGGGCCCCGGGCUUGUCCGGCGUCGCCAACAGUGGUUUGGGGGGGGCGGCCGGGCCCCCACUGAGCCGCCGUGUCUGAAUCAGUGGCAGUGGUAGGGAUGGUGCCUUCGGUGGUGUGAAGACUGUCCAGGGGUCGGGCUAAGCACAGAGGCCUGAAGGUCACCGGUUGAGGAGACAGCGCCCAAAACAGGCGCUGCAUCCUGAGCCCUGGGAGUACCGAGGUGACCUUCCAGGAAUCAAAUAAAAGCUUCGUUUUAAAGGAAGCAGGGCCAGACGUCUUAUAAAAUCGACACUUUCCCGUUCUUUGGGGCGGGGGGGAGGCCGGAGGCGGGGAGGGAGUUAUGGAAAGAAGCUGUCAGCGUAAAGUGAACUACAAUUUUGACUUUGCAGAGCGGUCUGACGUAUCACAGUGACCUGCAUUCUGUUGGUGUGGCAUCCUCAGGUUUCACAGGGAUUGUCUGUGUAGGCAGCUUAUAAAACAGUGUUCAAGGAACCUUUGACCUUAUUAGGUGAAGGGUGUUAGAUGUUACAAAAGAAUAUUAAAUAGAAUGAUAAACUGGGAAUGUCAGAUGGUAGUAGGGGAACAUUUUCUAAUUGUUGGAUCAUUCAAAUUUGUAGUGCAAGUUUUUGAAGGCUAUAACCUUAAAAAAAACAACCUUUUCAUAUGCCCUUUUCUUAGAAAGAAAUGGUGUAAAGUUGUGGAAUAAAGGUAGCUUUUAGCAUUAUGACAUGAAUGAAUGACAGAAAUCCAUAAAUCAAAUGUGUAGUUUUCAUUUUUUUUUUCCAGAAAUACCACAUUGGCCUUGGUAAAUUGGAGAUUUUUCAGAUAUAAAUAUGGAAACUGCAAGAGUUUAGGGCAUUAUUCCUUAUUCGGUAUCCAUCUUAACAGUUUAAAAAGGACUAACGGUUUACAAUCCAACAACUGAAUACAUCCAGAGGAUCUUUCACGAACGUCACUUCAUUGUUUUCACCAGAGCCUGAGCUCCUCUAUGGCGUCACAGUGGACGCUGUCAGGUGAGAUGACCUUGAAGGUACAGGCAAUCCUGUGGCAAGGGGAUGAAGCCCAUCGGCCAUGGAGCCAGGACGCCUGGGCACAAAUCUCCAGCUUCCUGAGUGACAUCAUAGAUGAUGGCACCAUCGACUAAAGCCUGGAAUAUAGAAAGAGGAACGGCCUGGUGGAGGUAGCAGGGGAGGCUGAAGAUAAUCAGCAAAUCUGGAUUGGGGUCGAGGGAAGUUGUUGAGACAACCAGACAGCAAACACGUCCCACAGAAGCUUGGCGGGACUUGGACCUGCGGCUCCUGCCCCUCCUCAACCCCAGGAGCCAUCACAGGUCUUCUGGGCUCAGGCCUGAGGCAGAGAGGUUGCUGGUUCAGACUCUCUAGCACCAUCCCGGGACUUACUUCAGAUUCGGGACCUCUCUGGACCAGCCUCGAAGGCUCAGAACCAGGCGUUGCUGAGACUUAUGCUUUUACGUGGCUCUCUCCUCACUUCCCCCCUCUUCAGGGGGGCCAGCGCCAGAGGACCCUGGAUUUCUCUCCUUCCCUCUGCUCUGGCCAUUUGCCUGGAGUCAGAGCUCAGCCUUCCCACCUUCCACUAACCUUGGGUCCAUGGGCAAUCACUUCCCAGACCCAUGGAGGGCCAGGACUGAGGGACUCUGCAGAGACCCCCCCCCACCCCCAUUACUUUAUGGGGAAGGAAACCCAGGCUGGAGGGUUUCUUAAUCCAUUUUUCUCACCCACCAAUUUCCAGCAACCUUCGCCUCUCUGGCCUCAGUUUGCCCAUCUGCCGAGGAGUGGGAAACAAACCCCAUUCUCCCAACCGCAGGAUGAAGACUGGGACCAGCUGAGUUUGUGAAAGGGCCUAUUACCCCAUUGCUCCAGAGGUUCUCAAGCUUGAACAUGCAUCUGAAUGCCCUGGAGGGCUUGAAAACAGAGGGAGGCUCCUCCUUCCCACCCCAGGGUUUCAGUAGGUCUGUGGUGAAGUCAGAGAAUUUGAACAUUUUCAGACGAUGCCGAUGUGGCUGGUUCAGGGACCACACUUUGAGAAGCACUGCUCUAAAUCUCCGGAACUCACCCCAAAGAGAGGCGGUGUGUGCUGGAGCCUCUCACGCUGGCUCCAGGAAGUUGGUAGCUUGAAAUCAGCCACAGUGGGAGUAUUCACACCUCGGGAAUCAGUAAAUGCUGCAAAC